rnacentral:lncRNA from 1 species
UAGAGAGGAAUUAGAGAGAGAGUCCAACAACUUGAAGUGGAGAAGAGAGGAAGAAGAACAAGCAGCCAUUAACUAAACAGAUCAAACAUCAAACGAAGAAAAAGGCUAAACUAGGAAGGUAUAACCUUAAACCUUUCCUUUAUUCAACUUUUCUUGUGAGAUAACUAAAGUUAUGUUAGUAUCAUACUUAUAUACACCUAAAUAUGUUGGAUCAUGGUAGUAAAUAGCUUAGAUGAUGGAAAAACUAUAAAGGAAAACAAGACAACCUAGAAAGAAACUUAAAUUAGUUUAGGUCAAAAACUCAAAAAUCUGACCUAAAAUUGUAACAUGCAUAACUCUUAGUAUACUUUGAAUUUUUGUAUGAUUCUUAUUUUGGAUGAUAUAUAUGUAAGUUAGCUACAAUCCGAUGAUGGCUAGAGGCCUAAAUUCCAAGUAGAUUUUUUUGGGGUGAAUUUUCUACCAAGACAUGGUCAACUGCCAAACCUACUGACCUUACUUGUGUAAGGAUUGUUUUGGACCCUUAACUUACAUGAAUAAAUCCAGCCUUCUGGAGUAUGGUUCCUAGAGGUAUAGGGAAGGUCCUAUCCAAAAAUGAACAAUAGUUGACUUAAGAUGAAGGAGUUAUGACCAAAACAAAAACUAAAAGUUUAAAAUUAAAAUUACGAUAACUUGAGUUCUAUAACUCGGAUUGGGGUGAAAUUUUUCGUGGAAGAAAGUUUAGAUGCAGAGACCAUUCUGUCAAAAUUUCAUAAUUUUUUGACAUAAUCUCAAAUAUUAAUAAAUGUUAAGUUUCAGGCAGAAACUACCCCAAAAUAAAUAUUAAAUAUACUUAAAAAAAUCUAAUAAAAUAAAAAGGAUCUAAAAUGAAGUUACCUAAGUGGGGCCAGAAGAAGAAAAAAUAAAAUUGUUAAAGAGGUUUAAUAGGGAAGAUGGGGUUUAAGAAACUAUGGAAAAAUUAAUUUUAAGGUUACUGAGAAAUGUAUAAAGUAGUAUAUUGGUAAAUAUGUGGUGAAAUAGGACACUUGGAAUAGAGUAGGGGUAAAAUGGUCAUUUUGACCUUAAAAUUUAAAAAAUGAGAUUAAGUUGGUAGUUGAGAAUGAAUUACGAUAACUGAAGUUACGGAAACAGAAUUAUAAAAAUUACCAACGAUAACUAUUAAAGGUGUUAUGAAUGGUGUAGGUAACCAUUUGGAAACGAAAAGCAACUUUGAUAAAGGAAGUACAUCAGGCAAGUUCCCUGAGCUAUUGCAAGUUCCUUACCUUAUUGCAAUUUUAAGUUUGUAUGUCAAUUUCUUAACUUAUGCAAAUUUAUUAUUUGGUACAAGUUCCUUGUUAUAUGAGAUUUCCUGAGUUAUACGUUUUCGCACUUAUGUGUAUUUAUGAGUUGUUUUUUUAUUGAAGUGUAAAUUUUUUCUUAAAGAUCAUGUAAUUCAUGAUUUAUUCUGAGCCACGAGUCUAUAACAUUUGUUCCGGCUAGACAAAAGUGAUGUGAUUAAUGAAUUGAUAAUAUUUCCUUUGGAGGUAAUUAAAUACAAUCCAAAGUGCUUUGGUGCAUAUUCUGAGCCUAAGAUUGAGUAUGAAAAGCCAUGAUAAAGGGGAUAUUUAUGCCGGGUAAUCGACUUGACGCUUUAAGCAUGAAAGAAUUGUUAUGCAUAACAUGUGGUACGAUGGGCUGAUCCCCUAAAGUACCAGUGGAAAGUUUUCCAAUAUGUGUGACAGUUAAACAUUGUGAAGAUUUCACAUUUUUAUAAUUGUUGAACAUUGUAAGAGUUCAUAGUCCCUACGACCACUCAACAUAAUGUUGAAAAGAAUUGAGAUUAAAGGAAUCCUUUUAUUUCCUAUUUAUUCAUGUUGGUUCAUUAUUUCUUAUAAUCAAAUUGUUGAAGAUUUUUGAUAAUUAUUCAUUAUGUCUAUGAUAUAUUAUUCAUUGAACUGCCUUAUACUUGCUGAGCAAAUUAGUUGCUCACUUUUUUGUAAAUUAUAUUUUCAGUUAGAGCGGAAUGACCAGAAGGGUUAAUUAUGAAAGACAAAGGAACGAGUAAAGCCACAGAGAAGGAUUAGAAAUAUAAUAAUAUAUUAAUAAUUAAUUAAGGAUGUAAUAUUUUAGAAUAUUUGUAUUUGAAUGAAAUGUAAGUAAAUCUUGGGUAAAUUUAUGACUGAAUUAUGUCAAUGAUGUAAUAAUAAUAUAAAUUAGUUUGUAUUAUUUAGUUAUUUGUGUAUAAUGAGAUGAAUAAUGAGUAUCAUAUCUAUAGUAGUGAAUACUCAGAAUUAAGGGCGUC